ACAAGUCAUUUUACAAGUAACUGCAACUCUCUCCAUAUGACAUCUGUCCUAAGUUCCAAUUCUUCACGUUUACUUUAAAACUCCACAGAAAAAAAAAAUCGAUAGAAAAACAAAACAAAAAAAAAACAUUUUACUUCACAACUACUCUACACUUAUCCCCACGAUCUCACAUCCUCCACUUCCACUCCAAAUUACAACAAUGGAACAACAAAAAAAGCCCAAUUUAGUUUUUAUAAAUUUUGGGCUUCGUAAUAUUUAGACCCUUUUUAAAAACAUGUGGAAUUAAUAGGAAUAAAAAACCUGUAGCAAAUUAUCUAUAUCCCUAAUUUUUUUGCCACUAACACCACAACGUUUCUAGCUAAACUCGUGGGACAAUACCUCACCAAAAAAAAAUAAAAAAUUGUGGGACAAUUUAUAACUGAUUUAUCUCUUAUUUAACUCCAAUUCUAUCCAACGUCUUCUCUGCUAGAUCUAUCUAUCUAUUCCCGUUCUUCAUUCUUUUUUGUUGUCGUCAUUGCCAUUGACUGUUAAAGUUUAUUCAGUUGGAAGAUGCAUGUGGAUUAUACACAUGAUUCCAAAUUUUUGGAGUGGAUGAGAAUGAAACAACACAACACGGAAGCACGGCACCUGAGUUACAUGGAGUUUCCUAAACAGUUUGUUUGGAACAGAAGCACUAAAACGUGGAGCAAGCGUAAAAGAACUAACCAAACCAGAGCAAUCAAAGAUUUAUUCAAAUACGUGAACAAAGGUAAAGACAAGGUCACCGCGGCAUCAGUUGAGACAGUGACGUCAACAGAUUAGGAAGAUUUGAUGGUAUAUUGUAUCCUAUGUUUAAAGAUGCAUGUUUUGCUCUACAAUCCCUUGAUGAAGUUUAUCAAUACUAUCAAAUUUUCACUUUGCAGAA